rnacentral:misc_RNA from 1 species
AAGUCGUAACAAGGUUUCCGUAGGUGAACCUGCGGAAGGAUCAUUAACACGUAUCCAACGUUAAACAACCCUGUGAACUUUAAGCCUACUCUUGCAGCCCAUGAGGAACAGCAAUCCCGGUAAAUCAUUGCCAAACAGUUUUGAUUCGGGACCUCUGUCCAAAAGGAGUUGCAAUUGAGUGGUAGAUGCAGUGGCAUGGCUUCCCCAAGCAGUUAGUGAAUGACAGUGUCACUGACUGUCCGACCGGCAGACAUGUCACAGGGCUAGAAAAUGCCCCGCCUAGUGGUAACGCGCUAGGUAAAAAAACCGAACAACUGUUAACAAUGGAUAUCUUGGUUCUC